GUCUUUUUGGGAAAAUAUAAAGUCCAAUCUGCUCACUGAGUAAUUAAAGAGCCGCAGUAUUCUGACUGUGCAAAGGUAGCAUAAUAAAUAGCUUUUUAAUUGAAAGCUUGUAUGAAAGAUUAGACGAGAAAAUAGUUUUCUUUAAUCUAAAAAUUUAAUUUUAAAUUUUAGUGAAAAUGCUUAAAUGUUUUUAAAAGACGAGAAGACCCUAUAGAUUUUUAUUAUUAUUCUUAAUAUAAAAUAGUAAUUUGGAUAAAUAAUUUAAUUGGGGCGAUUUUGUAAUAUAAAAAACUUAAUUUUUUGUGACCAUUAAUAUUUGAAUAUUUUGAUCUAAAAUUUUUAAUGAAAAGAUUAAAUUACCUUAGGGAUAACAGCGUAAUCUUAUUUGAGAGUUCGUAUCUAUAAUAAGGUUUGCGACCUCGAUGUUGAAUUAAGAUAAUAUGUUGGAGUAGAAAUUAAUAUAAUUAGUCUGUUCGACUAUUAAAUUCU
rnacentral:rRNA from 1 species